UUCAGAACAGUGACCCACGCCUGCCCCCAGCUCUGCUGGGUGCCUUUCGGCUGUAGGUGUUGGAAGCGUCAAGGAUAAUCCAUCCUGUUAUAAAUCCAUCAUCCAUCUUGUCUAAACUUUUCUUGAACACGUUUCUGUGUUCAGCAGGAACAGCCUCUGGUCCUCGUCAAACAUUCCUUGCAUCUCCUUGAUCCAUGCCUCCGGUCUAUUUAUCUGUGCCUCCAUUUUAUUUCCAAGAUUUUGGAUCAUGUUUGCUAUCGUUACUCUGAAUUGUUUUUCAGUGAAUUGCUAUCAUCCUGCUGCUGCUGCUAAGUCGCUUCAGCCAUGUCCAACUCU